CCUACGGGUGGCUGCAGUGGGGAAUAUUGGACAAUGGGCGAAAGCCUGAUCCAGCCAUGCCGCGUGUGUGAAGAAGGCCUUCGGGUUGUAAAGCACUUUCAGUGGGGAAGAAAGCCUUGGGGCUAAUACCCUCGAGGAAGGACAUCACCCACAGAAGAAGCACCGGCUAACUCCGUGCCAGCAGCCGCGGUAAUACGGAGGGUGCGAGCGUUAAUCGGAAUUACUGGGCGUAAAGCGCGCGUAGGCGGUCUGAUAAGCCGGUUGUGAAAGCCCCGGGCUCAACCUGGGAACGGCAUCCGGAACUGUCAGGCUAGAGUGCAGGAGAGGAAGGUAGAAUUCCCGGUGUAGCGGUGAAAUGCGUAGAGAUCGGGAGGAAUACCAGUGGCGAAGGCGGCCUUCUGGACUGACACUGACGCUGAGGUGCGAAAGAGUGGGUAGCAAACAGGAUUAGAUACCCGAGUAGUC
rnacentral:rRNA from 1 species